rnacentral:misc_RNA from 1 species
CUUGCCUUUGCCACCUGCAAGAGAUUUCCUUGGAAAGAGGUGCCUGCUUAUAUAGCAUGUCAAGUCAUAGGAUCAACACUAGCAGCUGGAACAAUUCGAUUAAUUUUUACAGGGAAGCAAGACCAAUUCACAGGAACAAUGCCAGCAGGAUCAGAUAUGCAAUCCUUUGUAGUUGAGUUCAUAAUCACAUUUUAUCUCAUGUUUAUCAUAUCAGGCGUCGCUACCGAUAACCGAGCUAUUGGUGAACUUGCUGGACUUGCUGUAGGUUCUACAGUUCUCCUAAAUGUGCUUUUUGCAGGGCCAAUUUCAGGGGCAUCAAUGAACCCAGCAAGAAGCUUGGGGCCUGCAAUUGUAUCAUCUCAAUACAAGGGGAUAUGGGUUUAUCUUAUAUCGCCGAUUCUUGGUGCUCAAGCAGGUGCAUGGGCGUAUAACAUGAUUAGGUAUACAGAUAAGCCUCUGAGAGAGAUCACCAAGAGUGCUUCAUUCCUCAAGAGUACAGGACGUGCUUGAUAAGAAAGUAAUCUUUUUUCGGCCUACCAUAUUUCAUGUAAAGCUAGAAAGAUUUUCUGUAAUUUUCCCAGAUCAUCAAUGGAAAGAUUUCCAAUGGUUGUCCUUUUUUUUUUUUUUUUUU